GGGGCGGCGGCCGCCGCGGCGGAGAGUCGCCCUGAGGCAGCAGCGGGUUUCUGCCGUUCGUUUUGGCCGUGUACUGGCGGAACAGACCCAAAGAGUGUUGAUCCAGUAGGAUAAGUUGUGUUGAGGACGGAUGAGCUUGUGCUGUCAAUGCAGGCGGAAGAUUUUUUUUCUUUUUUGUUAGUUGUAAUGAUCAUAUAGGUAACUGAAUGUUACUGGAAAAAGGUAAGUUUUUGGCAGGACAUUUACCUUGUUGAUGGAUACUGACAUGUUGAAGUACCUGUGAGAGUAAACAGUGAGAUUGCCCAGAAAUUAGAUGUUAUAUCAACAACUAUCAUAACGUACUGCAUGGUUUGAGAAGAGUUUGGUUCUUGAUGCUGGUGAGCGCAACUCUGUCAACCCGAUUGUGUGAAGGCUUCUCAAGCUUGAUAAUGGUGGCAAUGAAGUAGUAGCUUGUUCAACCAACAUAGAGAUGGGUCAAAAUGCAGAGAGUUUGUACUAACCAGAGGAGAAUAGAAGGCCCAACAGGAAGAUGAGACACGAGACGACAUUUACAGACAUAUCUCCAAUGGCUUCCCUCAACCUCUCUUUGUCUUCUCUUCUGUUGUUGCUCUGUUUCAGAUGCUCGAGGAGAGUGAUGCUUCUAGAGAGAACAGAGAAGUCUACUUAAGCAGUAAAAAGGACUUAAUUUACUUCAUCUAACGGUAUAUAUGACAGGACAGAAUCAGAGUUUCCUUCACGGUGUAAUGGAGAAUAAGAGGAAGCUUGUGAAAGAAGGAUGGGAGGUUUGGAGGUGCACGCAAGAUAGGGUGGUAUUAAAGAGCAGAAAGGAGAAGUUUGCAGAGGAAAGCAGCAGUGGAAGAGGAUGAUGGUGUGGAAUGAAGAAUCCUUGUGUGGGCUGGCUAAUGAUGGUGAUAAUGAUGAUGAAACAAGGGGUGGUGGUUGAGGUGGGAACCUCUCCUUUAUGCUACACUUUUACUGUUCCACGAGAUUAAAUCAUAUGGGAAAGCCUGGGAUCAAGCAAGAGCUUGCCAGUGGCAGUAAAUCUGUCUUAAGAUCAUCUUUUGCUUCUUGCAGCCUGGGAGCAAGAGCUUGCCAGUGGCAGUGGCUCAAAGAACCCAGAUUACUCGACUCCACUCUUCUUCCAUAAGCUUAGUCAAACCUGGAACUAGAGUGCUGGCACGAAUUUUGAGAUCGGAGCCUGUGAUAUUGGUGUGUAAUUGUGGAUAGAUACUGAUCUAUGUGUCAAACACUUUAGCUAGAUAUCUACAUGAACAUAAUUGUAGAUAGAUACGUGGCUGAUAAUAACAAGCUUAUUUGAGAUGAUAGGAUGUGAUGUUUUUUUGUUUGCUCGA